UCAGGGGUCAGGGCUGGGCUCCGCCCGCAGGACGGCCGCGACGCCAUGGACCUGACGCUGAUGCGGGCGCGGCUGCAGGAGAAGCUGAGCCCGCACUACCGCAGCCCCGAGGAGUUCGCCCGCGACGGCUGGCGCCUGCUGCGCCAGUUCCACCGCCUCACCGAGGUCGGGCGGCCCCCGGGGCUCUGCUGGGGGUUUCUGGGGGGUCCGGCCCCUCUGGAAUUCCCUCUUUCCCCCCUCCCAGGACAAGGCGGACGUUCAAUCCAUCCUGGAGCUGCAGCGCUUCCUCGAGAGCCGCCUCAGCGCCGUCUUCGGGGACCAGAAGUUCUCCCGGCUCCUGCUGGAUCCCGAGGAAGCCCUGGAGGUGCCUCCAGGCUCCUGACCGCCCCUCCCGGGGGUGGAGCCCUCCCAGCACCCCCGUUUGCCCCCCUCGUCCUGGGGUCACCUGGGAAAUAAAACCCUGCCUUGGUCUCCUGGGUGCUGCCUCAGUUCCGGGCUGGAUUUCACAUGGAUUUCUGGGAUUCUUCCCAAUCCCAGGGCUUGGAUUUCCGGGAUUCUCCCCAGUUCCAGGGCUUGGAUUUUUGGGAUUCUCCCCAAUUUUAAGCUUUGGAUUUCCUGGGUUCUCCCUCAUUUCUGUGCUUGUAUUUCCUGGAUUUUCCCCAAUUUUAAGCCUUGAAUUUCCUGGAUUCUGCCCCAUUUCUGUGCUUGGAUUUCCUAGAGUCUCCCUCAUUUCUGGGCUUGGAAUUCCAGGAUUCACCCCCAUUUCCGGGUUUGGAUUUCCUGGAUUCUCCUCAAUUUCAGGGCAUGUUUUUUUGGGAUUCUCCCCAGUUUUAGGGCUUUGAUUUCCUGGAUUUCUUCCAAUUUUAGACCUUGGAUUUCCUGGAUUCUCCCUCAUUUCUGGGCUUGGAUUUCCUAGAUUCUCCCCCAUUUCUGUGCUGCAAUUUCCUGGAUUUUCCCUCAUUUCAGGGUUUGGAUUUCCUGGGUUCUCCUCAAUUUCAGGGUUUGGAUUUUUGGGAUUCUCCCCAGUUUUAGUCCUUGGAUUUCCUGGAUUUGCCCCAGUUUUAGGGCUUGAAUUUCCUGGAUUCUGCCCCACUUUUGUGCUCGGAUUUCCCAGUUCUGCCCCAUUUCUGUGCUCAGAUUUCCCGGGUUCUCCCUCACUCCAAAGGUCGGAUUUCCCGGGUUCUGCCCCAUUCCAAGGCUCGGAUUUCCCGGGUUCUGCCCCAUUC
rnacentral:lncRNA from 1 species